GGGGGCGGGGCCCCGGGGCGCGCGCACGCGGGGCGCGCGCGGGGACCCCAGAGCCGAGGGCGUGAGGCGGCGCCGCGGGGGCGGGCUGAGGGGCUCCGGUACCUGCAGCUGGGCGCGCCGCCAGUUCCUGUUCUGGGGAAUGCCAAGGGAGAAACCCUCACUGCUGAGUUGCCUGCACACCUAACAGGCCUCCGGUUAGAGCUGCUUCACAAGUUGCUGGCCUGUUUGCAAUUCCAGCUGCUGUUUUAGAAACAUUUGUCUGUUGUGAGCUUGGAGUCUAGCAAGAAAAAGUGGGUUGUUCUUCAGAGAACUUAAAAGGCAGUUGGGCUUUGUGCUGCUUGCAUACUCCGCUUGCUGGAAUCUUUCUGCUGAGAAAAUUCCAAGCCACAUUUUAGGCAUCAAACAUCUUUAAUCUUGGUGCUGAGAAGGAUGCAUGCCAUCAGAGAUGGAUCUGUUUCUAUGCAGCUUGCUACUGAAAUUUCAAACUUCUGCCAUGAAAAAAUCAGCUAUAAAUAGCUCUGAAUGAUAGAAGCUCUUCAGUGCAUGCCUCGUGGGUUAAUUACUUGAGCUCUCACAGAAGGAAUCCUGGCUUCUGGUGUAGCAGCUUGUCGCAAGACGUGGUACGAAAUCGCACAUGAUUUUGAGGCUUGUAGCCUGUGAAUGUGUGUCACCCUGGAAACCGUUUGCACCUGCAAGCAUGAGUCAUAAGAGCUGAGGAAUUGCGGGGACUGUGGAGGAAUGUUUGGAUUCCCAUCUUUCCAGAAUGGACAACUUCUUCCUACAGGAAUGCAGGUCAACACAUCACAGAGUCACAGAAAGGUUGAGACUGGGAGGGACCUCUGGAGGCCACCUGGUCCAGCCCUUCUUCCUGCUGAGGCAUUCUGAAGGAUUUUGAAGAUCUCCAAGGAUCUCCAUCAACUCCAGACCUCCUGUGGGCAACCUGUGUCAGUGCUCUGCCUCCCGUGCAGCACAGAAGUACUUCCUGGUGUUCAGAGGGAACCUCCUGUCUUCCAGUUUGUGCCCAUUCCCUCCUCUCCUGGCACUGGGCACCAGUGAAAAGAGCCUGGCUUCAUCUUCUUUGCAUUCUCCCUUCAGAAGAUUCAAGAGUCAAGAGGAUGUAACCAACCACCAGCAUUAAAAUAAGGACCACGUCUCCCACAGAUGUGACAUGAAAAGGGUGGAAAAGAACAGGGAACCACUUAGCCAGAUGUUGAGUCAGCCUGUUUGGAGGCAUCGCCUGUGAUGAGUGAUUUCCAGGAACACUGACUCAGUGAAGUCAUGGAACAAUAAUGAAGGUUAGCUAUCAAAGCAAACACCCAGUAUUAUUUCUUUAUUGCUGGGAAAACCUUGUAACAAUCUGAAACACCGGUAUUUUCAGAACAAACAAGAAAUGCAACCUUAUAUGCAGACAUGAAGUCUUGCAUAUUUCUGUGACAUUAUUCUUGCUGCAAUGUGCUGUGCUCUGCUCUGAGUCCCUGAGACUGAAGAACAAUGCUUGCUCACCCGCUCUCUGCUGUUUGGACGUGGUCUUAUGUGGGCGGCUGCCAAGCCUUGCGGAUUGUGACAAUGCAGAGAGUGCGCUGUAAGAUGCCCUUUCCAUGAAACAAUGCUGAAAGAACACAAGUUAUUCAGUGGAUGAGAAGUAAGCUUGGUAUUCCUCUCUGAUUGUUAAUGAUGUAACUGUCAUGUAUUGACUACAAUAAGCAUGUGCAGGACUCUGCAGAUGAAUGCAGUUGGAGAAGAAGACAGGAUAAAACUUACAAAAGGAUUUCAUGGUAGAUUCUGAAGAAAGAAAAAUGGCCUGAACUGAAGAGAUACUAAUUCCUACUGUACUUUCAACUACCACUGCCAUUUAUGGAAGCUGAUACUUAGAACUGAUGUUGAAAAACAGAGUUCCUAAGAGAAGGAAAAAAUAUGUCUUGUAUCUCCCAGGGAUGUGUAUACACCCACUAUCAGGGUGCCUGAAUUCAUCCAUAAAUGGUCAUGUUUCUGCUGAAAGGCGUACAAGUGAGAGCAUUCUGUUACAUUGGGCCUCACUCCUGAAGCUCCAUUAGACUGCAGUAUCAGCUUGAAUGUCUAACAUGUCUGUGAGGGUACCUACUAAUGAAUGUGAAGUCAAGCACAAUUUUGGAAUAAAACGAGGUUUCUUUUUAUGAUCGUUCUGGCUGCAAGGUUCAGCAAGCUUGGCAGGGCUAAAGUGUGGAAAGUCUGUCCAUGGGAUAUCUUGAGAUCUGAGACGCCAACAGCUAUUCACUCUUCAUCUGAUACCUGUCUGGGGAACAGCACGUGAAAGCAGACCAGAGCUGUUAAGGUAAGAGUGUGAAAUGCCCCAGCAGAGAGCAGGUGGUUGUUCAGUAAGGGAAAUGCAUUGAAAAUAGACAUGUCCAAAUGACAACGUGGUGAGCUUUGCUCCUCACCCAGCCAUGUCCUGUCUGUAAUGUGGUAAGUGUGAAGCCUCCUUUGAUGAAUUAGCACCUGCUAUGCCUGUCAAAGAGGCCACAGCAAGGUGCGGUUAGAGGGCUGAGGCAGAAAGGCAUGCUCCUUCCUCUCCUUCCACAGACACAGCUGCAUGGAGCAUUUCAGCCCAUUACAGUGGCACCCAAAUCCCUGCUAACCCUGCCUUGAGCAGGCCCAGUCCACUAGCACAGGCUGCAACAGCCAAAGCACAUUUUCAGAAACUGCUCUUUGCUGCCUCCUGUCUAAAUACUGAAUCUUCAUGAACUCAGACUCCAAGUUAUGUCAAGCCGGGAUGCUUGUGUGUGAAUCUGGGUGAAUGCUUAAGAUAUGUAAAUCCAGGACCACACUAAGGUGACAGUAUUCAUGAUCUGAGUCUUGGUAUACUGUUGACAAUCUGAUCUCAGCAUCUGUUGUGUGAGAUGAUUGGUAUAGCUUGGCUUCACGUCUAGCGUUAGGCUGAGCAGAAAGAUGAACAUACUGUGUGGAUUAAGGUAAAGCCAAGAACAAGAUUUCCAUUAAUGUCACUGGAAGUAGGUUUGUCCGCAGCAUGAUCAUGCACAUGUGAAGUUUCUCCCUGUGAAUCGUUUAUUCUUUUCCUUCCAUACACUCUGCAGUUUGGUGUUGUUGUGUUUCACUGUGAUUUAUAUGAAAAAUGUCUGCCAUCACACCAUUCACAGUCUCUGGACAUUGCUCUUACUUCAUGUCACUGUCAUCUGAGUAAUGUGAGAUCACUUCCAGUAUGGACCAAGACGAAUGAAAAGUCUUUGAAGUUUAAUUACUUAUCUGUCUCUCCAGAAUGUAGAGUAAGUAACUUUAAGUACACUGAGUAUGAAUAAACAUAUUCAUGGAACAAUAGAAGAAACAGGAAAAAAAAAUGCUGUUAGAGAAAAUAUGAUUAAAUUGGAAGAAAAAUGGAUGAUGCCCACUUUGAAUAAGAACUUUUGGAUCUAUAGUGAUUUGUAGUUUAAAAUUCACACAAUUUCAGUGUAACAUAUAGAAUCAUAUCUUAUAGAAUCUUAGAAUUUUGUAGAUUUUCAUAACUUACAGAAUCAUAUUGAGGACCUAGUUGUGGGCUUUAAGAAGUUCUGUGAAUAACAGCAGGAGCAACUCCGUUCAUGUCCAAAACUAAUCACAGGGAACUUUAAAAAAAAUAAUAAUAAAUUGUAAGCUUAAAUUGUGAGGUUUUGUCUGUUUGUUUGUUUUUAUUUGGUUGGUUGGCAUAGUUUUUGUUUGUUUGUUUUAUAUGUGGACAGGAACUCUUUUGUAAAGUGUUCCUGUCAAUGUCCAGAGGGACCUUAAGAAGGCCAGUCCACUUUCAGAAUAAAGAAUAAACAAAAGAAUUUACCAAAAUCUUGAAACUAAGCAUCCUUGAGUCUCAGAUAAGUUAUUUUGGUUUCUUCAAUUUUAUCUUGUCAAAAGUAGUGAGAUAAUUGGUGUCAAUAUCAGUGAUUUGAACUGACCAUCUCAGCUUCAGAUUUCAGCAUUUUAUGAAGGGAAAAAAGAAAAACUUGCUGCUAUAUUGUGGUUUCCAGAAUUCUUAAAGACGUUUUUGAGAUACUCACCAAGUUUUCCCAGCUGUACACUGGGGAGGAUGAAUCCUACAGCAGUAGCUAUUUCAACCCACUCCAUGUUCAAUUUUGUUUCCUGAUCCCAGCAGAGCUGGGGUUCAAGCUGAACUUUUAGAAGUAGAAUUUGGCUGGGUUAUAUAGUAACCACAACAAGUACAUUCAUCUCUUACUAAGUAUUUUCAUAUUUAAAAUGAAAAUUUUAGUAAUGGUUUUUAAAGUGAAAUUAAUGUUUCUGUAGUUUAAUUGUUUCAUAGGGGAAAAAACAAAACAACAACAACAACAACAACAACAACAACAAAAACACAAUGGCAGCAAAGAAAAGACCUAGAAACUUGCCCUUGCAGGGGCAAGUACUUUUGCCUUUUACCAGAUUUUCAGUUAGAAGAUUAUAUAUGCUGUUCCACUGGAAGUCAGAGAUGUUGAUCAUGUCAAUGAAAUCUCACAGCUUCCGCGUGUUGCUGAGCACGAUCUUAGAUAUCAUCAGCAAAGAAACUGAGCUCCUCCCAAAAAGAGUUUAUUACAGAAAAUGCUGACCAGGAUUAUAUCCCCAUAUGCAUCUCUUGAAAGGACUGUAGAUGCAUUUGCAGAUGUGGAUGGACUGCAGAACAAUUCUAAAGUGCUGAUUUUGUAAGAUGGCAGUCAUUUCCAGAGAGCUCGUGAUGUUGCAAACACAGAAUUAUGACUUGACGCCUGAAUUAAGCAAUAGAAGAACCUGGAUUCAAGGGGUUAAGAAGUCUGCUUAGGAACCACAGAAAACCAAAGCUGUAAUAAUAUGCAAAGUCCUGAAUCAUGCAUCAAAAAGAAGUGAUUGGCAGUACUCUGAGUGCAAUUUGGAUACUGAUAAGUGGCUGUGGAUGGGGAAACUCCUGCAGAUCUGGUGCCUACAUGCUCUCCCUUUUCCUAGUAGUCCAUAAUUCUUCUGCAUUAGCAGCCAGUUUUCCUUGGUGGUGGUUGAUAACAGCCGCAGGAGUUAUGAAGCAAACCAAAACAGUGUUUUGCAACACUUAAAUGCAGUACUUUGCCCAUAUCUGAAGAGCUUACUCACUGGCCGGCCACGCUCAAAGGAUGCCGCAGCUCCAUCCCACAGACUAGCGUUGCUUCCCUUCUCAUCUCCUACUUCCCGAGUGGGUGUCUGCAGAGUGCCGUGAUGGCAUCGAUCUGUUUUGACCAUACCUAUGUCAAUCUGUUCUUCCAGCACCUUAGCAGGCGCCAGCCUUUAGUAGCUAUUUCAAACUACUGCCACUGUGAACUGUGGAAGCAUACAAAAAGUGCAACGGGUCCAAGCACAAUGCAGCAGUAGGCAGGCUGAGGAAGAGCACGUGAAAAGCACACAAGGAGAGCACUGCAGCCUGCACAAGCCUGUAGAGGAGAAAAUGGUGGAAAAACACGGACAGUACCCCAAGACCAUAUAUUUGAAGAAACUGAAGAGAAUACUGGCA